UGGAGAGGCGUCUUGCUCCCCUCUGUGAGAAUUGCCAAGCUCCAUUAUCAGUCAGCCACAUUCUGUUGGACUGCCCACUUUAUCAACGAGCACGCAGAAUUUACCUCUGUCGUCGUCUUCGCCCCGCUGCUCUCUCUUUACCUUCCCUUCUCGCUGAUGGACCCACCUUUCAUCCGGACUCUCUUAUUGACUUUUUGACAACGACUGACUUACUUCACAAAUUCUGAUACUUUCAGCCCUUUCUACUUGUAUCUCUUGCUACCCUCUACCCCCGUACUAUCCCCUGCCCCGCUGUUUUCUGUAACCUGCUGAUCAUCCCCCCUCCCUCCUGCCAUCCAAUUCCCUUGCUUCCUUCCCUACCCUGCAGCGCUGUAUAGCCCUUGUGGCUUAGCGCUUCUUUUUGAUUAUAAUAAUAAUAAUAAUAAUAAUCAGUGUAUAUAGACUGAGAGGUGUAUAUUUCAGUGUAUAUACACUGAGAGGUGUAUAUCUCAGUGUACAUACACAGAGAGGUGUAUAUCUCAGUGUAUAUACACUGAGAGGUGUAUAUCUCAGUGUAUAUACACUGGUAAUUUACAUUAAUCAGUAUUUUAGGUAUUAAAGAAUUCUUGACUGGUGGUGUACAGGUGACCUGCAGCCUUAAUGACCCUGGUGUAGUAGAUAGACUUUAAACCUGAUUAACCAACCAACCAGUCUUAAUGACCCUGGUGUAGUAGAUUGACUUUAAACCCCAUUAACCAACCAACCAGUUUUAAUGACCCUGGUGUAGUAGAUAGACUUUAAACCCCAUUAACAACCAACCAGCCUUAAUGACCCUGGUGUAGUAGAUAGACUUUAAACCCCAUUAACCAACCAACCAGUCUUAAUGACCCUCAUGAAGUAAACUUUAAACCCCAUUAGCAUCAUCAACCAGCCAUUCCCCAUGCACAGUAUGGAUCUCAUAGGUACAGAAUUUCUCCAUGAAUAUAAAAAUGGUGACCUGCAAAGGCAGACUAUAUAAAAAUAAUUUUUCAUUUAGUAAUUUAUGUAGGAGAAGGGGUUACUAGCCCCUUGCUGCCAUAUUAGAAGUUAGUGGAAGCAAGUGGUUUCUGGGAGCUGAUGUGCUGUUGGAGUGUGGAGGGAUUUAUUGAAACUGGUUAGCCAGACUUGAGUCCUGAAGGUGGGAGGUACAGUGCCUGCACUCUGAAGGAGGUGGGAGGUACAGUGCCUGCACUCUGGAGGAGGUGGGAGGUACAGUGCCUGCACUCUGGAGGAGGUGGGAGGUACAGUGCCUGCACUCUGAAGGAGGUGGAGGUACAGUGCCUGCACUCUGAAGGAGGUGGGAGGUACAGUGAUUGCACUCUGGAGGAGGUGGGAGGUACAGUGAUUGCACUCUGGAGGAGGUGGGAGGUACAGUGCUUGCACUCUGGAGGAGGUGGGAGGUACAGUGCUUGCACUCUGGAGGAGGUGGGAGGUACAGUGCUUGCACUCUGGAGGAGGUGGGAGGUACAGUGCUUGCACUCUGGAGGAGGUGGGAGGUACAGUGCUUGCACUCUGGAGGAGGUGAGAAAUACAGUGCCUGCACUCUGGAGGAGGUGGGAAGUACAGUGCCUGCACUCUGGAGGAGGUGGGAGGUACAGUGCCUGCACUCUGAAAGAGGUGGGAGGUACAGUGCCUUGAUGGGAUAUGACCAGUGUCUUAUAAUAAUAAUAAUAAUAAUCAUAAUCAUAAUAAUAAUAAUAAUACAGUGGUACCCUGAGUUUUGAACACCUCCCAACUCAAACAGUUAUGUAAGUGAGUUUGUAAAUGUGUUUUUGGGGGUCUGUAAAAGACUAAUCUAAUUUAUAUUAUUCCUUAUGGGAACAAAUUUGUUCGGUAUUGGCACUUGAACAGCCGUCUGGAAUAAAAUAAGAUUGAAACUCAGGGUACCACUGUAUUCAUAACAAUAAUGUAUCUGUGGGGGACCUAUUUUCUCUCUUUGGUACCUGUGUAUGGCUGUCGUGUGUACCUUUGUAAAAGGUUCUUUGUGUAUACUGUAUUAAGUGUAUGUGUUGCACUUAAGAACAAGUGUAAGCAGUUCUAGGAAGUGAUCGGGUGGGUUUCGAACCUGGAGUGGAGUCGCCUUGGGAACCCCAGGACAGGUUCGAACCUGGAGUAUAACGGCCUUGGGAACCACAGACAGGUUCAAACCUGGAGUGUAACUGCCUUGAGAACCCCAGGACAGGUUCGAACCUGGAGUAUAAUGGCCUUGGGAACCACAGACAGGUUCGAACCUGGAGUAUAACCACCUUGGGAACCACAGGACAGGUUCAGACCGAAGGUGCAAGAGACUUUGAACCCCCUAAGGGCAAAGGCUCCAACCAAAGGUUCUGACCAAAGGUGUGAUGAUCUUGGUACCUCUGGAAUAAUACUUGCUGCCAUAAUCACUACCCUGAAUUUGUGUGUACUAACCUAUAUGUGAUUGCAAGGGUUGAGUCACAGCUCCUGGCUCCUGUGUGUGUGUGUGUGUGUGUGUACUAAUCUAUGUAUGGUUGCAGGGGUCGAGUCACAGCUCCUGGUUCCUGUGUGAAUGGGUACUGGCAUAUAUGUAGUCUCAGGGGUCAAGUCACAGCUACUGGCCCUGUGUGUGAAUGUGUACUGACCUAUAUGUAGUUGCAGAGGUCGAGUCACAGCUCCUGGCCCCGUGUGUGCAUAUAUUUUAUCUAAUAGUCCUCUUCGCUUUUUCUUCUAUAUAAAAGACUCAACAUGACAAGAAAGUGUAUAAUAUAUUUUUGUAAAAUACACAUCAAUAAUAUUGUAAAAAAUGUGUUUAGAAUAUGAAUGAAAAUAAUUUAGUAUCGAAAAAAUUUUGGAAAUUGAAGCAACAUGCAAAUGAGGAGGAUUUAUAUUAUUUUUGCUUUAUUAACAUUAAUUUGGAGAGAAAUUAAAACCAUUUUUGAAAUAU